rnacentral:rRNA from 1 species
UACGUAGGGGGCUAGCGUUGUCCGGAUUUAUUGGGCGUAAAGAGCGUGUAGGCGGCCAGGUAGGUCCGCUGUGAAAGUCCGAGGCUCAACCUCGGAAUGUCGGCGGAAACCCUCUGGCUAGAGUCCGGAAGAGGAGAGUGGAAUUCCCGGUGUAGCGGUGAAAUGCGCAGAUAUCGGGAAGAACACCCGUGGCGAAGGCGGCUCUCUGGGCCGAUACUGACACUGAGGAGCGAAAGCGUGGGGAGCGAACAGG